AUGGUGGAGCGGGGAGACGCGGCGCCGCUGCUGCGUUGGGCCGAGGGCCCCGCCGUCUCCCCGCCGCUGGCCCCGGACCCGCAGGCUGGAGGCCGGGGCUGGGGCGGCGGCGGGGGCGGCCGGGCGGCCGCGGAGCCGCCGAGGAGGCGGGAGCCCGAGGAGCUGGGUCCCUCCCAGGUGCUGCUGCAGCCCGGGCGCCUGGAGCUGGGCGACGUGGAGGAGGACCAGGUGGUGGCCGUGUUUGUGGUCACCUUCGACCCCCGCUCGGGAAACAUGGUGGAAUGGUGCUUACCUCAAGAUAUUGACCUUGAAGGUGUUGAGUUCAAGUCUAUGGCCAGUGGGUCCCAUAAAAUUCAGUCUGAUUUCAUCUACUUCCGAAAGGGGCCCUUCUUUGGCCUGGCCUGCUUCGCCAACAUGCCUGUGGAAAGCGAGCUGGAGCGUGGCGCCCGGAUGAAAUCCGUGGGCAUCCUCUCUCCGUCCUACACCCUGCUGUACCGGUACAUGCACUUCCUGGAGAACCAAGUUCGACACCAGCUGGAGACACCGGGACAUUACUCUCAUCUGGCCGCAUUCUACGAGGACAAGAAGGGGAUGCUCCACACCAGUCCGGGGAGAGGUGGCAGCCUGCCCCCUGUCUACUGGCUGCCUUCCAUCCACCGAUACAUGUACCCCGAGAUGAAGAUCACACACCCAGCUGGCUGCAUGUCUCAGUUUAUUAAGUUCUUUGGGGAACAGAUCCUCAUCCUUUGGAAAUUCGCCUUACUUCGAAAGCGCAUUUUGAUAUUUUCUCCCCCUCCAGUGGGCGUCGUAUGCUAUAGAGUGUACUGCUGCUGCUGCCUGGCCAGCGUCUCCCUGCCUGGCAUCGGGGAGGCCGUUCCCGAGUCCAAGCCCUUCUUCUAUGUCAACGUGGCCGACAUCGAGAGCCUGGAGGUAGAGGUGUCCUACGUGGCCUGCACCACCGAGAAGAUUUUUGAGGAGAAGCGAGAGCUGUACGACGUCUACGUAGACAACCAGAACGUGAAGACGCACCACGCCCGCCUGCAGCCGCUGCUGAAGAUCAACAGCGCCGACCGGGAGAAGUACCGGCGGCUCAACGAGCAGAGGCAGAUGCUGUUGUAUUCCCAGGAGGUAGAAGAAGAUUAUAACCCUUGUGAAGAGGACCUCUUUGUCUUGUUUUUCCUAGAGCAAAACAAUCGGAUAUUUCAGACUUUGCUGGAGGUGUCCGCCAGUCAAGACAAAACUCUGACAGCUGAGCAUGCCCGGGGCAUGGGUCUAGACCCCCAAGGAGACCGGAGCUUUCUUAUGGACCUGCUGGAGGCCUACGGCAUCGAUGUCAUGUUGGUCAUUGACAACCCCUGUUGCCCAUAGGAAGGAUGCGUUCACCCAGGCUCCAGAUGGCCUGAUUUUUAAUUAAGUUGACACAAAGGAAUACUGUUUAUACUUCCAACAAAUGUAACUUCUGCAUCUCCUUCCUUCCCUUCCUCCCAAGAGGUAAGAUGAGAGCACCUUGGUUUUGUAGGUUGUUGAAAGCUCCCGCCUUCAGAGCUGCCGCCGGUUUGGUCUUAGGGGUUAUCAGAGCAGAUUCUGUCAUUGCCUUGUUGAGGGACUUGAGGAGAUGGGGCGAAGACCGUGUAUCACCAGGAGCGGGCCGAGCUCUGGAAACGUGGGGCUGGACUGUUGAGAAAGUCUGUCUGGUCUUUGUCGCUUGACAUAUCAAGAAUAAGACAACUGUCUGUCCAGUGUGGCGCUGGAUGUCCACCUGCCUGAAGCAGAAGCUAGACCUGGUGAGCAGCACCCACAGCGUCACUUGCUGCCAGGUCUCUGAACGGGGAAUUCGUUGGUGAGGUACCAGGCAAGACUCCCUGCCCAGGGACGGCAGAAGCUAGAAGCCACACAGACCUGCUUUUGUGUCACUGUGGAAAUACUUUCUGAGGAACCCCCUGCUUUUGUUUGGAAGCUUUGGAGAAUGUCCCUGUUCCCUGUCCUCCGUAGGGACAGGGCUUACUCUUAUUACUGUGACCUUCUGGAACAGGUUGGGAGCCUCGGGUACACUGACUGGUGGUGGCCUUCUGUCCCUCUAGACUCUUGGACCACCUCCCUCCCUCCCCACGGCGCCAGCUGGCUUGGUCCCGCUGGGGAACUUUAAGCCUGAUCUAACGCCAAGCUGUGAGCGACGUCCUAACUUGGAAACACUGCUGACCUGAGACACAGGGGCUGCCAGGCCAUCCCUCAGUCAAGUUAGAGGAAAUUCUCGGUGGCGAGAGUCCUCGUGGGACCUAGAAUCCAGGCUUGGGGUUUGUUGCUGUCUGUAAGAUACGACAGAGUUCUGGUAAAAUGGAUUUUUCACUUGUGCAGGCUGGGCUGAUGGUACCAUUCAGCCUUUGGGACGAUGUCCAGUUGUCCUCUGGAUUAGGACUCCUCAG